AACUAUAACGGUCCUAAGGUAGCGAAAUUCCUUGUCAGGUAAGUUCUGACCCGCACGAAAGGCGUAACGAUUUGGGCGCUGUCUCAGCUGUAGACUCGGUGAAGUCUUAGUACCUGUGAAGAUGCAGGUUACCCGCGACUAGACGGAAAGACCCCAUGGAGCUUUACUGUAGCUUGAUAUUGGAUUUUGAUGCAUGAUGUACAGGAUAGGUAGGAGACGAAGAGACGGAUACGCCAGUAUUCGAGGAGUCGCCGUUGGGAUACUACCCUUCAUGUAUUGAAGUUCUAACCGGACGCCAUAAGCUGGCGACGGGACAGUGUCAGGUGGGCAGUUUGACUGGGGCGGUCGCCUCCCAAAGAGUAACGGAGGCGCCCAAAGAUACCCUCAGCAUGGUUGGAAAUCAUGCGUAGAGUGCAAAGGCAAAAGGGUGUUUGACUGCGAGACCAACAAGUCGAGCAGGGACGAAAGUCGGGCUUAGUGAUCCGGCGGUGCCGAAUGGAAGGGCCGUCGCUCAACGGAUAAAAGCUACCCUGGGGAUAACAGGCUGAUCUCCCCCAAGAGUUCACAUCGACGGGGAGGUUUGGCACCUCGAUGUCGGCUCAUCGCAUCCUGGAGCUGAAGUCGGUUCCAAGGGUUGGGCUGUUCGCCCAUUAAAGCGGUACGCGAGCUGGGUUCAGAACGUCGUGAGACAGUUCGGUCCCUAUCUGUCGUGGGCGUAGGAAGUUUGAGGAGAGCUGCCCUCAGUACGAGAGGACCGGGGUGGACAGACCAAUGGUGCACCAGUUGUCACGCCAGUGGCACAGCUGGGUAGCUAAGUCUGGAAGGGAUAAACGCUGAAGGCAUCUAAGUGUGAAGCCCCCUCCAAGAUGAGACUUCCCAUUCUUCGGAAGUAAGACCCCUCAAAGACGAUGAGGUUGAUAGGUCAGAGGUGUAAGCGCAGCGAUGUGCGAAGCUGACUGAUACUAAUAGGUCGAGGACUUAACCAG
rnacentral:rRNA from 1 species